GGUUUGGGGAAAGUCACGUUGGCUGUGCGUCUCAACGUUGCCGCUGCCGGGCCAUCAAGUGUCGAAUAAAAAUAACUCAAUGACCCAAAUUUCGCCAAAUUGAAUCGGCGGCACGUCCCAGAUGUCCGAAGGUGUUCACACGUGUCAAAUAAUUUUAAAAUAGCCGAAUCGUGGGUGUUUUUGUGCCCGUAAAAGAGGCGGCAUCAGCGCCCCGCCAUAUUGUUUUUGCUCCACGUCCAGUGUUGCGUGCGUAGAAUAUCAGCAAUUAUUUGAAUCCCUCACACUUUCCAAACGAUUUUACCCAAAAAAUGAGCUACGGACGGCCGCCCCCACGCAUCGACGGUAUGGUUUCCUUGAAAGUCGACAAUCUGACGUACCGCACCACCCCCGAGGACCUCCGGAGGGUGUUCGAGCGCUGCGGCGACGUCGGCGAUAUCUACAUCCCGCGGGACCGCUUCACGCGCGAGAGCCGCGGUUUCGCGUUCGUCAGGUUUUACGACAAGAGGGACGCCGAGGACGCCCUGGACGCCAUGGACGGGCGGAUGCUCGACGGCAGGGAGCUGCGGGUGCAGAUGGCGCGGUACGGACGGCCCACGUCGCCACACCGCAGAUACAGGGGCAGGAGAAGGUCACGUUCCAGAUCGCGCUCGCGAUCGAGGUAUUCGCGGUCACGAUCGAGGUCACGGGGCAAGAGGAGUAGGUCACGGUCCAGGAAUCGGUCAGGGAGUCGGUCACGUUCCAGGUCAGAUAGUAAGAGUUCAAGGGGAAGGUCGAGGUCGGCCUCCAAGUCGGAGGGGAAGAGGUCCAAGUCCAGGUCCAACAGCAAGUCGCGGUCCAGGUCUAGGUCUUAGGUGGCAGAGCUGUAGCAGAGUGAGCGCGAAAGCUGUUACAGGCGUUGCUCUCUUGAAAGCAGGCGGAGUGGUGCUGUGUAGCAGUCGAAAAAAUGCUGUGUAGCUGUUGAAACGAGCGAUCGAGAGAAAGAACGAACGGUGGUGGCAGUGUACCAGUUGGUCGUUAGUGUCGAGAAAGAACUGGACCCUAGCCAAAUGCACGGUGGGGCUGUCCAGUCUCUUCCAACGCUCGCAGGCUACCCAGGGGCUGCCGGUAGGGUUAGGGGGGAGUGAGCUUUGCGAGGUAAGUACGGGAAAUCAGCAGGCAGCCCCCAUUUUUUCUAAUAAUAAUCUCGCACGAUUCUCGAUUGGUUGUCUCAAGGGCCACCUGAGGGGGCCUUUAACUUUAUUUACAGGGAUUUUUACGAGCAAUAAACGACUAAUUACCA